CGCUCUUUGAGUGCCACUCAACUUUUAGCUGCUCGCUAUUGAAGCACCACUUUCCGCCGCUAGGUGAAUGCCAUUUCGAACUUUGGGCUGCUUGCUCAUCAAUUAUCGUCAGAGCGAAAGCUUUAAGAUCACCAAGUGUUCCUGUCCAAAUUAAUUUGUUUUUCUUUCGGCCAAAGAAGCCGAACAAGGUGUUAAUAACUCUAGAAGAAUUCAUUUUAAUCGUAUGCUCUUGUGUGGAGAUGUUCACUCAAGGCCAACCAGGUUAAAUCAAUCGCCCAUUGUUAUUGAGGCGGAUUUUAUUACAUCCCGGGCGUCAUACAGUAGGUGUACGGGACUGAUCAAUGAAUUUUUAUGGAGGAUUGUAAUGAAAUAACCUGAAUUUAACAUAUUUUCUGGUAAAUCUGCUCGAAUUUUCUUGAUUUUUCCUAGCAUUUACCCGAAUUUCCACGGUUUUCCAAAAUUUGUUUGGGGGGCUGCCCCCUGUCUCGUACGCCUAUGCCAGGCGUUCUUUUCAGUGCCCGGUUUAGUAAAUUAUUUAAUAAGUUAUUUAGUGCUAGAAAAAUGGGUUUUUUUCGAUUAUUUUUAGCGAGUUUGCCGG